AUGGGAACGCGAAGAACCUUACCUAGACUUGACAUCUCCUGAAUUACCCUUAAUCGGGGAAGUCGGUACCUUUGGUAUCGACAGGAAGACAGGUGGUGCAUGGUUGUCGUCAGCUCGUGUCGUGAGAUGUUGGGUUAAGUCCCGCAACGAGCGCAACCCUUAUUGUUAGUUGCUACCAUUUAGUUGAGCACUCUAGCGAGACUGCCCGGGUUAACCGGGAGGAAGGUGGGGAUGACGUCAAAUCAUCAUGCCCCUUAUGUCUGGGGCUACACACGUGCUACAAUGGCAAGUACAGAUAGAUGCGAUACCGCAAGGUGGAGCCAAACUCUAAAACUCAUCCCAGUUCGGAUUGUAGGCUGCAACUCGCCUACAUGAAGUUGGAGUUGCUAGUAAUCGCGAAUCAGAAUGUCGCGGUGAAUACGUUCCCGGGUCUUGUACACACCG
rnacentral:rRNA from 1 species